rnacentral:rRNA from 1 species
AAUAGAUACCCAGGUAGUCCACGCCGUAAACGAUGAGUGCUAAGUGUUAGAGGGUUUCCGCCCUUUAGUGCUGCAGCUAACGCAUUAAGCACUCCGCCUGGGGAGUACGGUCGCAAGACUGAAACUCAAAGGAAUUGACGGGGGCCCGCACAAGCGGUGGAGCAUGUGGUUUAAUUCGAAGCAACGCGAAGAACCUUACCAGAUCUUGACAUCCUCUGACAACUCUAGAGAUAGAGCGUUCCCCUUCGGGGGACAGAGUGACAGGUGGUGCAUGGUUGUCGUCAGCUCGUGUCGUGAGAUGUUGGGUUAAGUCCCGCAACGAGCGCAACCCUUGAUCUUAGUUGCCAGCAUUUAGUUGGGCACUCUAAGGUGACUGCCGGUGACAAACCGGAGGAAGGUGGGGAUGACGUCAAAUCAUCAUGCCCCUUAUGACCUGGGCUACACACGUGCUACAAUGGAUGGUACAAAGGGCUGCAAGACCGCGAGGUCAAGCCAAUCCCAUAAAACCAUUCUCAGUUCGGAUUGGUA